rnacentral:misc_RNA from 1 species
AGAGGAAUUCAGAGAUGAUGCAACCUGAUUGAAGUUCAAUUAAAAAAGAAAUAAAUAAACAUCAUCUUAUAUAUAAAACAGUAGAGCUUCUGGUGGAAGUACAAUAAGUGCAUUUAAAAAAGAACCAACAUGUAGCUCGAGAUCACACUCUAAAUUGCAUGCAGGACUGCUAGAAUGUGGCAGACCACAGACUGCAAACCACAUCAAGCAUCACUUUGGGAAGAUACCUUAUCAUCCUCAAAUUAUCCCCUUCUUGCCUUUCAGCAUUAUUCUUUCAGGAAAAUAAAUAAAUAAGUAAAUAAAGAAAUAAUUCUCACUUACUUUUAUCAGACGAGGAUUCUUAGCAAAUUCAGGA